UACGGAGGGAGCUAGCGUUGUUCGGAAUCACUGGGCGUAAAGCGCACGUAGGCGGAUUGUUAAGUCAGGGGUGAAAUCCUGGAGCUCAACUCCAGAACUGCCUUUGAUACUGGCGAUCUUGAGUCCGGGAGAGGUGAGUGGAACUGCGAGUGCAGAGGUGAAAUUCGUAGAUAUUCGCAAGAACACCAGUGGCGAAGGCGGCUCACUGGCCCGGUACUGACGCUGAGGUGCGAAAGCAUGGGGAGCGAACAGG
rnacentral:rRNA from 1 species